rnacentral:rRNA from 1 species
CGGUACAACGAGUCGCAAGACCGCGAGGUUUAGCAAAUCUCUUAAAGCCGUUCUCAGUUCGGAUUGUAGGCUGCAACUCGCCUACAUGAAGUCGGAAUCGCUAGUAAUCGCGGAUCAGCAUGCCGCGGUGAAUACGUUCCCGGGCCUUGUACACACCGCCCGUCACACCAUGAGAGUUUGUAACACCCAAAGCCGGUGGGGUAACCUUUUGGAGCCAGCCGUCUAAGGUGGGACAGAUGAUUGGGGUGAAGUCGUAACAAGGUAAC